rnacentral:rRNA from 1 species
UAACGCGAAGAACCUUACCUGGGUUUGACAUGCACGUGAAACCCCUGUGAAAGCAGGGGCCUCCUUCGGGACACGUGCACAGGUGCUGCAUGGCUGUCGUCAGCUCGUGUCGUGAGAUGUUGGGUUAAGUCCCGCAACGAGCGCAACCCUUGCCCCGUGUUACUAACAGGUCAAGCUGAGGACUCUCGGGGGACUGCCGGCGUCAAGCCGGAGGAAGGUGGGGACGACGUCAAGUCAUCAUGGCCCUUACGCCCAGGGCUACACACGUGCUACAAUGGCCAGGACAGAGGGUUGCGAGACCGCAAGGUGGAGCGAAUCCCAGAAACCUGGCCCAAGUUCGGAUUGCGGGCUGCAACUCGCCCGCAUGAAGCCGGAAUCGCUAGUAAUCGC